rnacentral:rRNA from 1 species
GAUGAACGCUGGCGGCGUGCCUAAUACAUGCAAGUCGAGCGAACGGACGAGAAGCUUGCUUCUCUGAUGUUAGCGGCUGACGGGUGAGUAACACGUGGAUAACCUACCUAUAAGACUGGGAUAACUUCGGGAAACCGUAGAUAAUACUGGAUAAUACUUUGUACCGCAUGGUUCAAAAGUUAAAGACGGUCUUGCUGUCACUUAUAGCUGGAUCCGCGCUGCAUUAGCUAGUUGGUAAGGUAACGGCUUACCAAGGCAACGAUGCAUAGCCGACCUGAGAGGAUGAUCGGCCACACUGGAACUGAGACACGGUCCAGACUCCUACGGGAGGCAGCAGUGGGGAAUCUUCGGCAAUGGGCGAAAGCCUGACGGAGCAAUGCCGCGUGAGUGAUGAAGGUCUUCGGAUUGUAAAACUCUGUUAUUAGGAAAGAACAGAUGUGUAAGUAACUGUGCACAUCUUGACGGUACCUAAACAGAAAGCCCCGGCUAACUACGUG